rnacentral:rRNA from 1 species
GAGUAACGCGUGAGGAACCUGCCUCAAAGAGGGGGACAACAGUUGGAAACGACUGCUAAUACCGCAUAAGCCCACGGAUCGGCAUCGAUCUGAGGGAAAAGGAGCAAUCCGCUUUGAGAUGGCCUCGCGUCCGAUUAGCUAGUUGGUGAGGUAACGGCCCACCAAGGCGACGAUCGGUAGCCGGACUGAGAGGUUGAACGGCCACAUUGGGACUGAGACACGGCCCAGACUCCUACGGGAGGCAGCAGUGGGGAAUAUUGCACAAUGGGGGAAACCCUGAUGCAGCGACGCCGCGUGGAGGAAGAAGGUCUUCGGAUUGUAAACUCCUGUUGUUGAGGAAGAUAAUGACGGUACUCAACAAGGAAGUGACGGCUAACUACGUGCCAGCAGCCGCGGUAAAACGUAGGUCACAAGCGUUGUCCGGAAUUACUGGGUGUAAAGGGAGCGCAGGCGGGAAGACAAGUUGGAAGUGAAAUCUAUGGGCUCAACCCAUAAACUGCUUUCAAAACUGUUUUUCUUGAGUAGUGCAGAGGUAGGCGGAAUUCCCGGUGUA